rnacentral:rRNA from 1 species
GACGAACGCUGGCGGCGUGCUUAACACAUGCAAGUCGAACGCUGAAGCUUGGUGCUUGCACUGGGUGGAUGAGUGGCGAACGGGUGAGUAAUACGUGAGUAACCUGCCCUUGACUCUGGGAUAAGCCUGGGAAACUGGGUCUAAUACUGGAUACGACAUGUCACCGCAUGGUGGUGUGUGGAAAGGGUUUUACUGGUUUUGGAUGGGCUCACGGCCUAUCAGCUUGUUGGUGGGGUAAUGGCUCACCAAGGCGACGACGGGUAGCCGGCCUGAGAGGGUGACCGGCCACACUGGGACUGAGACACGGCCCAGACUCCUACGGGAGGCAGCAGUGGGGAAUAUUGCACAAUGGGCGGAAGCCUGAUGCAGCGACGCCGCGUGAGGGAUGACGGCCUUUGGGUUGUAAACCUCUUUCAGCACGGAAGAAGCGGAAGUGACGGUACGUGCAGAAGAAGCGCCGGCUAACUACGUG